UACAGAGGGUGCAAGCGUUAAUCGGAAUUACUGGGCGUAAAGCGCACGUAGGCGGCUUGGUAUGUCGGGUGUGAAAUCCCCGGGCUCGACCUGGGAACUGCAUCCGAAACUGCCUUGCUCGAGUAUGGGAGAGGGAAGUGGAAUUUCCGGUGUAGCGGUGAAAUGCGUAGAUAUCGGAAGGAACAUCAGUGGCGAAGGCGACUUCCUGGACCAAUACUGACGCUCAGGUGCGGAAGCGUGGGGAGCAAACAGG
rnacentral:rRNA from 1 species